ensembl:lncRNA novel transcript
CAGCCAGCCAUCAGGGAGCCAGCAAUAGAUGCAAGGAUUGGAGGACUCUGAGAGACGAGCAUGUACAGGAAGCACCCGGGCUGUGCACACACAGGAAAGACCACGUGAGGACCCAGCGAGAAGGCGGCCAUCCCCAAGCCAAGGAGAAAGGCCUCAAGAACAAACAAAUCUGCCAACACCUUGAUUUUGAACUUCCAGCCUCCUGAACUGUGGAAAAAUAAGUUUCUGCUGUUGAAGCCUCUGAGGCAGUGGUAUUUUCUUAUGGAAGCCCCAGCAGACCCCUAUGUGACUUGGUAGCCCCAUCUGUGACUGGAGAAGGUGAAGUCCACCGGCCCUGGUGCUGGGAGAAUCACACUGGAUGCUGAGACUGGGCCUCACUAAGCUCACAGGUGGGAGAUUCUGGGUAAAGAGGUGGAAUUUGUGUCACAGUCAAUCAACGUGUUCAGUGACAAUAAUAACAGAAACUACCGUUC